UGCCGCGUGCAGGAUGACAGCCCUCUGGGUUGUAAACUGCUUUUAUAUGAGAAGAAACCCCCAGAUGCGUUUGAGGCUGACGGUAUCAUAUGAAUAAGGAUCGGCUAACUUCGUGCCAGCAGCCGCGGUAAGACGAAGGAUCCAAGCGUUGUCCGGAUUUACUGGGUUUAAAGGAUGCGUAGGCGGACACUUAAGCCAGUGGUGAAAUCCCAUAGCUCAACUAUGGAACUGCCAUUGGAACUGUGUGUCUUGAAUUCGGUUGAGGUAGAUGGAAUAUAACAUGUAACGGUGAAGUGCUUAGAUAUGUUAUAGAACACCGAUUGCGAAGGCAGUCUACUAAGCCGACAUUGACGCUGAGGCAUGAAAGCGUGGGGAGCGAACAGGAUUAGAUACCCUGGUAGUCCACGCCCUAAACGUUGAUUACUCGCUGUUAGCGAUACACUGUUAGCGGCUAAGCGAAAGCGUUAAGUAAUCCACCUGGGAAGUACGACCGCAAGGUUGAAACUCAAAGGAAUUGACGGGGGCCCGCACAAGCGGAGGAGCAUGUGGUUUAAUUCGAUGAUACGCGAGGAACCUUACCUGGGCUUAAAUGUUAGAUGCCAUUCUGCGAAAGCGGAAGUUUCUUCGGAACAUCUAGCAAGGUGCUGCAUGGCUGUCGUCAGCUCGUGCCGUGAGGUGUUGGGCUAAGUCCCGCAACGAGCGCAACCCCUAUCAUUAGUUGCCAUCAGGUUAAGCUGGGGACUCUAAUGAAACUGCCUACGCAAGUAGAGAGGAAGGCGGGGACGACGUCAAGUCAUCAUGGCCCUUACGCCCAGGGCUACACACGUGCUACAAUGGUAGGUACAAUGAGAAGCUACUUGGUAACAAGACGCAAACCUCAAAAAGUCUAUCUCAGUUCGGAUUGAGGUCUGCAACUCGACCUCAUGAAGUUGGAUUCGCUAGUAGUCGUAUAUCAGCAAUGAUACGGUGAAUACGUUCCCGGGCCUUGUACACACCGCCCGUCAAGCCAUGGAAGCUGGGAGAACCUGAAGUCGAUAACCGUAAGGAGUCGCCUAGGGUUAUACUAGUAACUGGGGCUAAGUCGUAACAAGGUAACCGUACCGGAAGGUGUGGUUGGACCACCUCCUUUCU
rnacentral:rRNA from 1 species